rnacentral:rRNA from 1 species
AGGACGAACGCUGGCGGCGUGCUUAACACAUGCAAGUCGAACGAGGUCCAUCUGGUAGCAAUACCAGUGAAGACCUAGUGGCGAACGGGUGAGUAACGCGUGAGCAACCUGCCCCGAAGACCGGGAUAACAGCGGGAAACCGCUGCUAAUACCGGAUAUCCCCAUCGGACCACAUGGCCUGAUGAGGAAAUGGAUUCCGCUUCGGGAGGGGCUCGCGGCCUAUUAGCUUGUUGGUGGGGUAACGGCCUACCAAGGCGAUGAUGGGUAGCUGGUCUGAGAGGACGAUCAGCCACACUGGGACUGAGACACGGCCCAGACUCCUACGGGAGGCAGCAGUUAGGAAUUUUCCGCAAUGGGCGAAAGCCUGACGGAGCAACGCCGCGUGAGUGAUGAAGACCUUAGGGUUGUAAAGCUCUGUCGGAGGGGAAGAACACAAUGACGGUACCUCCAAGAAAGCCCGGCUAACUACGUGCCAGCAGCCGC